CAGCAGCCGCGGGAAUACGAAGGUCCCGAGCGUUGUUCAGAAUCACUGGGCGUAAAGGGAGCGUAGGCGGUGUGGUAAGUCAGAUGUGAAAUCCCGGGGCUCAACCCCGGAACUGCAUCCGAUACUGCCGUGCUAGAGGAUUGGAGAGGUAGCUGGAAUUCUUGGUGUAGCAGUGAAAUGCGUGGAGAUCAAGAGGAACACUCGUGGCGAAGGCGAGCUACUGGACAAUAUCUGACGCUGAGGCUCGAAGGCCAGGGUAGCGAAAGGGAUUAGAUACCCGAGUAGUCCCUGUCUCUUAUAC
rnacentral:rRNA from 1 species